GGAUGCGAUCAUACCAGCACUAAAGCACCGUACCCAUCAGAACUCUGAAGUUAAGCGUGCGUGGGCGAGAGUAGUACUAGGAUGGGUGACCUCUUGGGAAGUCCUCGUGUUGCAUUCC
rnacentral:rRNA from 2 species